rnacentral:rRNA from 1 species
CAGUAGCCGCGGUAAUACAGAGGGUGCGAGCGUUAAUCGGAUUUACUGGGCGUAAAGCGUGCGUAGGCGGCUAAUUGAGUCGGAUGUGAAAUCCCCGAGCUUAACUUGGGAAUUGCAUUCGAUACUGGUUAGCUAGAGUGUGGAAGAGGAUGGUAGAAUUCCAGGUGUAGCGGUGAAAUGCGUAGAGAUCUGGAGGAAUACCGAUGGCGAAGGCAGCCAUCUGGCCUAACACUGACGCUGAGGUACGAAAGCAUGGGGAGCAAACAGGAUUAGAUACCCCUGUAGUCCCUGUCUCUUAUAC